rnacentral:rRNA from 1 species
UACGAAGGGGGCUAGCGUUGCUCGGAAUGACUGGGCGUAAAGGGCGCGUAGGCGGAUUAUGUAGUCAGGCGUGAAAUUCCCGGGCUUAACCUGGGGGCUGCGUUUGAUACGCAUAGUCUAGAGUGCGGAAGAGGGUCGUGGAAUUCCCAGUGUAGAGGUGAAAUUCGUAGAUAUUGGGAAGAACACCGGUGGCGAAGGCGGCGACCUGGUCCGCAACUGACGUUGAGGCGCGAAAGCGUGGGGAGCAAACAGG